rnacentral:other from 1 species
UCAGGCCUGUAGUGUUUGUAAGCUUUUUAAUUAUGUCUAACCUUACUCUUUCCCAAAAAGGAACCUGAUUUUGACUUAUAGCUGCUGGAUCACCUUGUAGUGAAUAGCAAAAGUAUUGUCUUAAGGUACCGCCCUGCAUAUAUGCAGGUCUAGGCAUGUAGAAAGUUACGGCAUUUUGGGCCUAUA